rnacentral:lncRNA from 1 species
GGUCAAAGUAGUUUUUGUUGCACAGCAUUGUCCUAAUCCAUAUAUCCAUGCACACGUGAAUAAUACAUGAGCCGCCACAACCACAUUUUAAAACCCAGCUGUUUCCUUUCCAGAGUCAGACACUCCAAUCUGCACCAAUAUGCUAUCCACCUUCAUCUAAUGUCAUGUUGUUCCCAUCUGCGGUGAAUCAGCAAAGCAAACCAAAAGCAAGCGACGGAGGCCAUUAUAUACACUGACAAACGGAUGUUAAAGAAAACUUACCAAGUAGAAGCAACUCCUUCCCACACUCCAUGGCGAGAACAGUGCUGCUAAGACUCAAGCUCUAAUCCUUAGGAAGAGGAUUGUUUCCAAGGUAAGUCAAAAUCACAAAAAUGUUUUCAAAAUUGAUGAAUAGAAAGGCGUAAAAGGUACUUUAAUGUAUGGUGGG